AACAACCAGGUGAUUCCACGACACGCACACUCGUACACACGCACGCACGCACGCACGCACGUACAUACGUAGUCGGUUACAUCUAGCUGCCUCUAUACGUUAAGUGGACAACGAGACGGGACUAUCUGAUAGACUGACUUGCAUCUACAUUCCAACGAUGAAGCAGCCAACUCUCCUUCUCAUCACUCUAUGCACUCUACUCGUUGCACUGGGUACAGCUGAAGGCAAGCCCCAAUGGCCAUGCUAUUGCUUUGUGUCGCCAUGUGAUCCCAGGUUUCACUCAUGUGACACAAGUACUGAGGUGUGCAGAGAGUUUGGCUGCUGCAUGCACUGGUGUGCCCCCAGAGGCUAACGUCACAUAAACCCCUGCAUGUAUACGCUGUGUGGACCAGGCACCGUAUGCGAGACGGAUAAAAAUUGCCGGGGAGUAUGUGUGGACAGGCCGCUGAAGGGUUAGAGUGCAUCACCGCUCAAUAAUACAAGCAUGUGAUAUCGGCCUGCCAUCUGGUAUCGGACAACAUAACAACUUUAAUAUAUAUGUUCUGGAGAAUGCUACUAUUACCCAGUGAUGUUAAUUAAUAUUAAAUAUAAUAAUGAUAACAUA
rnacentral:misc_RNA from 1 species